UGUAAGCGUAUACCAAAGUUGUUGCAGUUAAAACGCUCGUAGUCGGAAUUUGGCAGUUCCGGAUGUGUGCACGUCGUGUGCGCACUUCGCGGGGAUUGCUUUUGUGGUCUUGCGUAGGAUGAGGCACUUUUAUUAGUGAACGUCCUCACGCAACCACUUUUUACUGUGAGAAAAUCAGAGUGCUCAAAGCAGGCAUUUGCCGUGAAUGUAUUAGCAUGGAAUAAUAGAAUAGGACUUGGUUCUAUUUUGUUGGUUCGUUGGGACUGAGUAAUGAUUAAGAGGGACAGUUGGGGGCAUUUGUAUUUCGGCGCUAGAGGUGAAAUUCUUAGAUUGCCGAAAGACAAACUGCUGCGAAAGCGUCUGCCAAGGAUGUUUUCAUUGA
rnacentral:rRNA from 1 species